AAUCAACGCUGGCGGCGUGCCUCAGACAUGCAAGUCGAACGAGAACCUCCCUUCGGGGAGGGGACAGUGGCGCACGGGUGAGUAACACGUGGGUAAUUUACCUUUGGGUGGGGAACAACAGCCGGAAACGGCUGCUAAUACCGCAUAAUGCAGCGGCUCGACAUCGAGACAGUUGUUAAAGCGGGGGAUCGCAAGACCUCGCGCCUGAAGAGAAGCCUGCGGCGGAUUAGCAGUUGGUAGGGUAAUGGCCUACCAAGGCGACGAUCUGUAACCGGCCUGAGAGGGCGGUCGGUCACACUGACACUGACAUACGGGUCAGACUCCUACGGGAGGCAGCAGUCGGGUAAUUUUGGGCAAGUGGGCGAAAGCCUGACCCAGCAACGCCGCGUGAAGGA
rnacentral:rRNA from 1 species